rnacentral:tRNA from 1 species
GCCACCCUAGCUCAGUUGGUAGAGCGACGCACCCGUAAUGCGUAGGUCGCCAGUUCAAAUCUGGCGGGUGGCUCCA